rnacentral:rRNA from 1 species
GGACGUGCUAAUCUGCGAUAAGCGUCGGUGAGGUGAUAUGAACCGUUAUAACCGGCGAUUUCCGAAUGGGGAAACCCAGUGUGUUUCGACACACUAUCAUUAACUGAAUCCAUAGGUUAAUGAGGCGAACCGGGGGAACUGAAACAUCUAAGUACCCCGAGGAAAAGAAAUCAACCGAGAUUCCCCCAGUAGCGGCGAGCGAACGGGGAGGAGCCCAGAGCCUGAAUCAGUGUGUGUGUUAGUGGAAGCGUCUGGAAAGGCGCGCGAUACAGGGUGACAGCCCCGUACACAAAAAUGCACAUAUUGUGAGCUCGAUGAGUAGGGCGGGACACGUGGUAUCCUGUCUGAAUAUGGGGGGACCAUCCUCCAAGGCUAAAUACUCCUGACUGACCGAUAGUGAACCAGUACCGUGAGGGAAAGGCGAAAAGAACCCCGGCGAGGGGAGUGAAAAAGAACCUGAAACCGUGUACGUACAAGCAGUGGGAGCCUCUUUAUGGGGUGACUGCGUACCUUUUGUAUAAUGGGUCAGCGACUUAUAUUCUGUAGCAAGGUUAACCGAAUAGGGGAGCCGAAGGGAAACCGAGUCUUAACUGGGCGUUAAGUUGCAGGGUAUAGACCCGAAACCCGGUGAUCUAGCCAUGGGCAGGUUGAAGGUUGGGUAACACUAACUGGAGGACCGAACCGACUAAUGUUGAAAAAUUAGCGGAUGACUUGUGGCUGGGGGUGAAAGGCCAAUCAAACCGGGAGAUAGCUGGUUCUCCCCGAAAGCUAUUUAGGUAGCGCCUCGUGAAUUCAUCUCCGGGGGUAGAGCACUGUUUCGGCAAGGGGGUCAUCCCGACUUACCAACCCGAUGCAAACUGCGAAUACCGGAGAAUGUUAUCACGGGAGACACACGGCGGGUGCUAACGUCCGUCGUGAAGAGGGAAACAACCCAGACCGCCAGCUAAGGUCCCAAAGUCAUGGUUAAGUGGGAAACGAUGUGGGAAGGCCCAGACAGCCAGGAUGUUGGCUUAGAAGCAGCCAUCAUUUAAAGAAAGCGUAAUAGCUCACUGGUCGAGUCGGCCUGCGCGGAAGAUGUAACGGGGCUAAACCAUGCACCGAAGCUGCGGCAGCGACACUAUGUGUUGUUGGGUAGGGGAGCGUUCUGUAAGCCUGUGAAGGUGGCCUGUGAGGGUUGCUGGAGGUAUCAGAAGUGCGAAUGCUGACAUAAGUAACGAUAAAGCGGGUGAAAAGCCCGCUCGCCGGAAGACCAAGGGUUCCUGUCCAACGUUAAUCGGGGCAGGGUGAGUCGACCCCUAAGGCGAGGCCGAAAGGCGUAGUCGAUGGGAAACAGGUUAAUAUUCCUGUACUUGGUGUUACUGCGAAGGGGGGACGGAGAAGGCUAUGUUGGCCGGGCGACGGUUGUCCCGGUUUAAGCGUGUAGGCUGGUUUUCCAGGCAAAUCCGGAAAACCAAGGCUGAGGCGUGAUGACGAGGCACUACGGUGCUGAAGCGACAAAUGCCCUGCUUCCAGGAAAAGCCUCUAAGCAUCAGGUAACAUCAAAUCGUACCCCAAACCGACACAGGUGGUCAGGUAGAGAAUACCAAGGCGCUUGAGAGAACUCGGGUGAAGGAACUAGGCAAAAUGGUGCCGUAACUUCGGGAGAAGGCACGCUGAUAUGUAGGUGAAGCGACUUGCUCGUGGAGCUGAAAUCAGUCGAAGAUACCAGCUGGCUGCAACUGUUUAUUAAAAACACAGCACUGUGCAAACACGAAAGUGGACGUAUACGGUGUGACGCCUGCCCGGUGCCGGAAGGUUAAUUGAUGGGGUUAGCGGUAACGCGAAGCUCUUGAUCGAAGCCCCGGUAAACGGCGGCCGUAACUAUAACGGUCCUAAGGUAGCGAAAUUCCUUGUCGGGUAAGUUCCGACCUGCACGAAUGGCGUAAUGAUGGCCAGGCUGUCUCCACCCGAGACUCAGUGAAAUUGAACUCGCUGUGAAGAUGCAGUGUACCCGCGGCAAGACGGAAAGACCCCGUGAACCUUUACUAUAGCUUGACACUGAACAUUGAGCCUUGAUGUGUAGGAUAGGUGGGAGGCUUUGAAGUGUGGACGCCAGUCUGCAUGGAGCCGACCUUGAAAUACCACCCUUUAAUGUUUGAUGUUCUAACGUUGGCCCGUAAUCCGGGUUGCGGACAGUGUCUGGUGGGUAGUUUGACUGGGGCGGUCUCCUCCUAAAGAGUAACGGAGGAGCACGAAGGUUGGCUAAUCCUGGUCGGACAUCAGGAGGUUAGUGCAAUGGCAUAAGCCAGCUUGACUGCGAGCGUGACGGCGCGAGCAGGUGCGAAAGCAGGUCAUAGUGAUCCGGUGGUUCUGAAUGGAAGGGCCAUCGCUCAACGGAUAAAAGGUACUCCGGGGAUAACAGGCUGAUACCGCCCAAGAGUUCAUAUCGACGGCGGUGUUUGGCACCUCGAUGUCGGCUCAUCACAUCCUGGGGCUGAAGUAGGUCCCAAGGGUAUGGCUGUUCGCCAUUUAAAGUGGUACGCGAGCUGGGUUUAGAACGUCGUGAGACAGUUCGGUCCCUAUCUGCCGUGGGCGCUGGAGAACUGAGGGGGGCUGCUCCUAGUACGAGAGGACCGGAGUGGACGCAUCACUGGUGUUCGGGUUGUCAUGCCAAUGGCACUGCCCGGUAGCUAAAUGCGGAAGAGAUAAGUGCUGAAAGCAUCUAAGCACGAAACUUGCCCCGAGAUGAGUUCUCCCUGACUCCUUGAGAGUCCUGAAGGAACGUUGAAGACGACGACGUUGAUAGGCCGGGUGUGUAAGCGCAGCGAUGCGUUGAGCUAACCGGUACUAAUGAACCGUGAGGCUUAACCUU